rnacentral:rRNA from 1 species
AUGUCCCGGCGCCGGAUCCAGGCUAGGGCGGGCCCCCGCGACGCCCCGCUGCCGGAGCCAGGCCACGAUGGCCCCCCGCGUCGCUGCCCAGCCUGCUUCCCUCGCGCCGCCGCCCAACCUCCUCCCCCCGAGCCGCCGCCCAACCUCCGUGACUCAUCCUUCCCUCCCCGGCCUCCUUCUACCUCCGCCGUCGCGUCGGCCGGCCUAGCCCCGCCGUCAUCCUCGAGAAGUGCGCUGCGUGCCCUGGAGCAGUGCACCGCGAGCCUCUCUAGCAGCUCAUCCAUGGGCAUCGGUAGUUUUUUUGGCCUGCAGUUCGGUGCCCCCCGCGUGCAGUCCGGUGGUGCUACGCAUGUAGUGCUCAGGUGA